AAGUAAAUCAUAUGAUAAAAUUACAGAAUAUCUUAAAAUUUCAAUACUUAUUACAGUUUAAAAGAUAAAGUAAAAAAUAAAUAUAUAUAAUAAAAAAUAGAAAAAUUAAAGUAAUAAAAAAAGGUAAUUUAAAAAGAAAAGUGUUUCCGAAUACUGGUGAUUUCAGACUGGGCGGAGACGAAUUCCGGCGAGUCUAGGGUUUAAAAGUAAAUCAUAUGAUAAAAUUACACAAAACCUCCGCCGAGAAAAAAAAGGUUUUACCAAAACCUCCGACNGUAAUAUGUUCUCUAAAGUAAAUCAUAUGAUAAAAUUACAGAAUAUCUUAAAAUUUCAAUACUUAUUACAGUUUAAAAGAUAAAGUAAAAAAUAAAUAUAUAUAAUAAAAAAUAGAAAAAUUAAAGUAAUAAAAAAAGGUAAUUUAAAAAGAAAAGUGUUUCCGAAUACUGGUGAUUUCAGACUGGGCGGAGACGAAUUCCGGCGAGUCUAGGGUUUAAAAGUAAAUCAUAUGAUAAAAUUACACAAAACCUCCGCCGAGAAAAAAAAGGUUUUACCAAAACCUCCGACAUCGCCGCCGCUUCUUGUAGUCGUCUUCAUCAUCCUCCGUCGCCAUCUUCAACAUCACAAACUCCGAUAACUAAACCCUAACUUCAAUUCUGUUCGAUUCGAAUAGAUUGAUUGUUUGAUCCAUGGGGAAGAAAGGAGGAGCGAAAAAUCUCCCAAAACCGGAAUCAAAAUCUCACACUCCUAUUACACUGAGAGAAGAAGCCACUGGAAAAUUAAAAACGAAGCCAAUCGUUAACACAAAAAGAAAGGAGGAGCGAAAAAUCUCCCAAAACCGGAAUCAAAAUCUCACACUCCUAUUACACUGAGAGAAGAAGCCACUGGAAAAUUAAAAACGAAGCCAAUCGUUAACACAAAGUCACAUCUGAGAAUUGAUCAUUUGAAAAAACUUGCGGUGUGGACCACUACUAACCCUCACAUAC
rnacentral:lncRNA from 1 species